rnacentral:rRNA from 1 species
AGAGUUUGAUCCUGGCUCUGAACGAACGCUGAUGGCGUGCCUCAUACAUGCAAGUCGAGCGCCCCGCAAGGGGAGCGACGAACGGGUGAGUAACACGUGAACAAUCUGCCUCAAAGUGGGGGAUAACCAUUCCAACGGAUGGCUAAUACCGCAUAGGGUUCGGAGGGGGCAUCCCUUCCUUACGAAAGCUUCACGCGCUUUGAGAUGAGUUCGCGUCCCAUUAGCUAGUUGGCGGGGUAACGGCCCACCAAGGCAACGAUGGGUAGCCGGCCUGAGAGGGUGUCCGGCCACAUUGGGACUGAGAUACGGCCCAGACUCCUACGGGAGGCAGCAGUAGGGAAUUUUGCGCAAUGGGGGAAACCCUGACGCAGCAACGCCAUGUGUGGGAUGAAGCAUUUCGGUGUGUAAACCACUGUCGGCAGGGAAUAAAGUCCGCGCUUGCGCGGAGGUGAAUGUACCUGCAGAGGAAGCCCCGGCUAACUUCGUGCCAGCAGCCGCGGUAAUUC